AAGUUGCUGUAAACCCUUUUCCCACUGUCUUCAGCUUCUGGACCUCCUGGACUUUUCAUCUCCCUACUCUUCCCAAUAACCCUGUUUCACCAGAAGUCAAAGUCCACUUUCUUCACUCCCAUCAACAUCGGCGUAUAGUCCUUCAAGACAUUCAUGCGUAAGGCUCUCUCCUUGCAAGCGAGGAGAGUGCCCCCCACCUCGCUGUCGCUCACAUGCUAAAAAGCUAGCCUGGGGCAGCCCUCAAGGAGGGCUUUUGGAUGCAUGUGGCCACAGUUUGGCACCCAAUGUGAGGCCUGAGUUCAUCGCUGGACCCUGUGGAAAGUGGACUCUGGGCUCCUGCAGAUCUGCAUCUGGACCUGCUGUGGGAGUGACCUCUUGAGACCACCUGGCUGUGAAACUUCCUCCAGUAGGAGCAGACCCAUCUCUGGUGGGUGGCACUCCCGGAGGCUCGGGGAGGCACUCCUGCACCCGAGGAGUCUUCCCUGACAGGAACCCCCACAUUUGGUCUUUUGUUCACCUAACACCGCAUUUUUACUGAGAGGGGGCCCGAGUCAAAACGACGUUGAAUUCUGCGCCUGCAACUACUCCAGUUGACAAAGCCCGUCCAUCUCCGAAACUCUAAUUUCCAUGCAGUAACAGUUUCACCCAAGACCCCAAGUACUUGGCACUGGAUCCGUUGCAGGUAUGUAAUCAUUGGGGAUUCAAAUUUGUGCACUCAGCAACGACAUACUUAGCCAUGCACUUGAACUGGCAGCAUCUUCAUUAAUUGCUGCAGGGCUCGAGCUGCAAAGUGACAAAAUUCAGAGGAUGCCACCUUGGAAGUACCUCGACCUCGAAAUUUCGAACGGAUAAUGGGCCAGGGCACAAAUCCAAGGAAUGUAAAGCUUUCCUGCAACAAUGGGGAAUAAGACAUGCUGGCAUCCCUUAUUCCCCGACAGGUCAAACCAUGGUGGAAGAGGUCUCAGCAGAGUCUCAAUGCUCGAACAUCAGCGAGAGACAGUGAAUGUGGACCCUCCCCAGAUUGGGUUGUCCAAAGCGCUUUUCAGAUUAAACUUCUUAAACUGCAGUUUUGAAAAUUUGAAUCCACCCAUGACUUGGUGUUACCACGCAAACCCUCUACUGGAGCUGAAGGACAGGUCCUGGGUCAUGGUAAGAGACCCGGAGACCUGGAAACUGGAGGGCCCCUUCCAGCUUGUCACCCAGUGAAGGGAAUAUGCUUGUGUAUCCAGUCCCUCUUGGCCUAAGUGGGUACCCUCCAAAUGGGUCAAGCCAUUUCUACCAAAAAAACGUUUGGCUUGUCAGGUAGUGCAAGUAGAAGAUGUUUGUUGGAGGAGGAAGAAGAGACCUUUUUCAGAUGAUCUCAUCAUCCUGGAGUAGAACCACCCCCCUUUUUUUGCAUUGUACUCACUGAUUCUGCUUCUUUUCCAGUAAACCCAAACCUAAUGGCCCUCAUCUGGCUUUGGAUCACCGUCAUCCUGGUUUUCAUCUGAUCCACCAUACCACCUGUUGAUAUGUGGAUCAUCCCCCAGCCAAAAGUUAACAUCUGGAAAGUGCUCACCAAGGUCCUUGACCAGGAUCUUCUUUGUUUGACCACCGUUUCAGCAGCAGACCUCUUGUCGACCUGCCUUGUGGGGAUCCCUUCAAACCUAGAUGAGUUUCCUCCCCCUCUCAACAGUUCCCUGAAACUCCUUGCCCAUUAGAAAGUUACCUCUCCCCUGGAAUUAACCCUAACCUUGUCUGGAGAAAUCUCCUCCCCAAAUUAAAUCAUUCAGAUUCUGAACCCCUUGAGUUUAC